rnacentral:lncRNA from 1 species
GCCGCCACAGGCGGAGCCGCGCACGCGUGUCACAGCGGGACUCAUGUUUAUCUUUCUGUUCAAGAGGAAUCAAAGAUCACAGACCUUGAAGAUCCACCCUGACCAUGCUGAGAUUUGGGCAGCACCUGAUCAAGCCCUCGGUGGUGUUCCUGAGGACAGAGCUGUGCUUUGCUCUGGUGAACCGCAGGCCGGUGGUGCCAGGCCGUAUCCUUUCCAUGGUGCUGCUCCCUAGGAAAGGCAGCACACUAUCAGGACACUUGGAAAGCCAGUUCCAACUUUCAGCCGGAAAAACACUCAUGGCUACUGUUCCUCUUGUGGAGUCGUGAACUGAUUUGUG